GACGAACGCUGGCGGCGUGCUUAACACAUGCAAGUCGAACGGAAAGGCCCUGCUUUUGUGGGGUGCUCGAGUGGCGAACGGGUGAGUAACACGUGAGUCACCUGCCCUUGACUUUGGGAUAACUUCAGGCAACUGGGGCUAAUACCGGAUAGGAGCUCCUGCUGCAUGGUGGGGGUUGGAAAGUUUCGGCGGUUGGGGAUGGACUCGCGGCUUAUCAGCUUGUUGGUGGGGUAGUGGCUUACCAAGGCUUUGACGGGUAGCCGGCCUGAGAGGGGGACCGGCGACAUGGGGACUGAGAGACGGCCCAGACGCGUACGGGUGGCAGCGGUGGGGAAUAUGGCACAAUGGGCGGAAGCCUGAUGCAGCAGCGCCGCGUGCGGGAUGACGGCCUUCGGGGUGUAAACCGCUUUAGCCUGUGACGAAGCGUGAGUGACGGUAAUGGGUAAAGAAGCACCGGCUAACUACGUG
rnacentral:rRNA from 1 species